rnacentral:rRNA from 1 species
UACAGAGGUCCCAAGCGUUGUUCGGAUUCACUGGGCGUAAAGGGUGCGUAGGCGGUCGGGUAAGUCUGGCGUGAAAUCUCCAAGCCUAACUUGGAAACUGCGUUGGAUACUAUCCGGCUCGAGGAAUGGAGGGGAGACUGGAAUACUUGGUGUAGCAGUGAAAUGCGUAGAUAUCAAGUGGAACACCUGUGGCGAAGGCGAGUCUCUGGACAUUUCCUGACGCUGAGGCACGAAAGCCAGGGGAGCAAACGGG